UACGUAGGGUGCAAGCGUUGUCCGGAAUUAUUGGGCGUAAAGAGCUCGUAGGCGGUCUGUCGCGUCUGCUGUGAAAACUCAGGGCUUAACCCUGAGCUUGCAGUGGGUACGGGCAGACUAGAGUGCGGUAGGGGAGACUGGAAUUCCGUGGUGUAGCGGUGAAAUGCGCAGAUAUCAGGAGGAACACCGGUGGCGAAGGCGGGUCUCUGGGCCGUAACUGACGCUGGAGGAAGCGAAAGCAUGGGGAGCGAACAGG
rnacentral:rRNA from 1 species